CGGACGGGUGAGUAAUGUCUGGGAAACUGCCUGAUGGAGGGGAUAACUACUGGAAACGGUAGCUAAUACCGCAUAACGUCGCAAGACCAAAGAGGGGGACCUUAGGGCCUCUUGCCAUCGGAUGUGCCCAGAUGGGAUUAGCUAGUAGGUGGGGUAACGGCUCACCUAGGCGACGAUCCCUAGCUGGUCUGAGAGGAUGACCAGCCACACUGGAACUGAGACACGGUCCAG
rnacentral:rRNA from 1 species